GAGGGUAUAGCUCAGAUGGUAGAGCACAUGCUUGGUAUGUAUAAGGUCCUGGAUUCAAUCCCUAGCACCUCCU
rnacentral:tRNA from 1 species